rnacentral:rRNA from 1 species
CGUGUAGGCGGCCGAUUAAGCCAGGUGUAAAAUGUUACAGCUCAACUGUAAACCCGCAUCUGGAACUGGUCGGCUAGAGGACGAGAGAGGAAAGUGGAAUUCCUAGUGUAGCGGUGGAAUGCGUAGAUAUUAGGAGGAGCACCAGUGGCGAAGGCGGCUUUCUGGCUCGUACCUGACGCUGAGGCGCGAAAGCGUGGGGAGCAAACA